rnacentral:rRNA from 1 species
UACGUAGGGUCCAAGCGUUAAUCGGAAUUACUGGGCGUAAAGCGUGCGCAGGCGGUCUCGCAAGUCCGAUGUGAAAUCCCCGGGCUUAACCUGGGAACUGCGUUGGAAACUAUGAGGCUCGAGUGCGGCAGAGGGGGGUGGAAUUCCACGUGUAGCAGUGAAAUGCGUAGAGAUGUGGAGGAACACCGAUGGCGAAGGCAGCCCCCUGGGUUAGCACUGACGCUCAUGCACAAAAGCGUGGGGAGCAAACAGG